rnacentral:lncRNA from 1 species
UGCACACACUUAGCAAGACAAGUCGAGUCAUCAACGACAGUCUCUUUCUAGGGUCCUCCACGCGCAUUCCCACGGAGGUUUCCUUGGCGAAGGAUAUCCUCCGACCCUUCGGGAGUCGGAGGUCCCUCGGGCAAAGGGUAUCCUCAGACGCUACCAGGGGGAAGGAUGCGGCCAUUCCCCAACAAUCACUAUGCAGAUCUACUCAUGUGGAGUCUAGCAAAAUUGAACUUUUUAUUUUAUGAUUGUUUUGUGAUUUACUAUGAUUUUUAAAGAUUCAACCAAAAUAAAAAAAAAGAAAAAGACUCAACCACCUUUAAAACCGCUUACAACCGGGCAAGUGAGGUAAAACGCACACAGUUUCAAAAGUUGAGGGAGAUGGUUUGUCCGAUUUUGGAGUUCAGACAGGAAAAACAGACUUUUGCAAAAGUUGGGGGAGGAAAAGUGGACUUUUUUUCUCAAAAAUUAACUAGCCUCUUACCACUAUUGCCAAGCUAAGCCCAAGUCUGGCUAGCCCGCAGUGAGCAUCCGCGUUUUGACAGGGCUAUCAUAUGGCCCAUGGACAGCCAACCAACCUACACUUAGGAGUUAAGACGUCCCAACGGCUUUUACAAAUCGCUGGCUCACGUGAAGCCUAUAUAAAAACAAUUAAAAAAUAAAAAGUUAGAUAGCAGUAAGUAUGUCAGAAACUUGAAAAAAUGUUAGAAACAUGUGAGCUUAGCUUAUCUGCACUCGCGGCCGGCGACGAGGACUUCUGCCUCAUCUCCUACCUUUGUCCUGGCGGUUGAAUCAAAUGACCACGAGAGGAGAGCGUAGGAGAAGGAUUUGGUGGUAACGCUACAACUUCCUGAAUGCAAGCUACUCAUUUGGUUUGGUGAAACAAACUCUAGUCUUACUGACCACAGCGAAGCCAGCGGGCGAGGCCUGACACGGCGGGCAUGAAAUCAAACACGCCCAGUACUAUGCAACAGUAUUAUCAAAAAAAUAUGUAUAUUGGCCAUGUUUUCUUCGCUUCAUCCAUAUAUAUACUAAUCACAUAUGCUUUCAACCACAUACUUACGUCCUAUUUGGCAUAACUUAACUUCACUAGUAAAACUUCAUGAGUAACUUUCUAGAUAAAACUGAGCUAUUUUGGAAAAAGUGUUUGGUAAAAUAUAUAGCUUCACCAACUACUUUUUGCAUAAAUGAGAAGAGAGAAAUGAGAGAGAG